rnacentral:lncRNA from 1 species
AACAAUACUGUUGGGUUGGCUGUGAAGUGAGGAUUUGCUGUGUGAUUUGUGGUGAAUUAGGCAUUUCUUGAGAAUGUAGGUUUCUAGAAGUAUUAAAAGAUGGCUUGACUCUGCAGUGUUGUAAAUAUUUCCCUAAAAUUUGGACAUUUCUCCAGUAAAACGUGUCUGAUGGGUUAGGACCAUUUGUCUCCAAGGAAUGGCAGUGGUUUUCUUUUUAAUUGUUUGUUUGUGUUUUUCAAGAUAAUGCUGAGAGACAUCCAAGGAGUACAGUUCAAGAGGUGAUUUUAAAAAGCAGAUAAUUACUUGAGAAUGGCUAGAGUCAUUGGAAUCUGAUUAGCUCCUUUCACUAUCAAAUACCUAUUUUGAUUUUCAAUACUAGGGAGAAACUGAUUUUAUCACAUUAUAAUGUUUAUUGCAAAACAAAGUCAUAACUCUUUAAAAAUGUGUAUGUUGGUCAUGUUUAUUUAAAAUUACAUUUAAGGA